GAGAGAAGAGUAUACAGAAGAGGCGUGAAGCCACAUCCAAUUUUUUAUAAACACUUAGGAUAUCAAUUUCUAGGAGGUGUGAAAGGAUGAUUUUUAGGUGGGGUUUCCAUUGAUUUUUUGGUGGUUGGGAAGAGUAUUAAUCGACGAUAUAUUUGAAGUUUGGGUUUGAACAGGUGAAGUCGGUGUAUGGCGGUUGUGUCAAGGAUACAACAAAGGCCAACAUCGGGUAAGAAAUUUACUCCAUUAAGCUUAUGAACUUCUUUGUGCGACAACAGAUGACGAUGACAGUGCUGGAAUCUAAGUCGUAAAUAAAAUUGAAGAUUAUUUGCAGACCUGGUGGGUAGGUGCGUCGUACAAUGAGCCCGGGAACCAUUUUCGUCAAGUGUUUCCGGUGAAACAGAAGUAAAGGGGGUAAAUCAAUCACUGAUAAGAUUUUUGCUACAACUAAUUGUAGAAUACAAUGUAGUUGUUAGGUAUAGGGGUAGUGUAAAUGAUUGCCGGAAAUAUGAGGCGGCGUCUCAAAAGUUAUAAGUGAU
rnacentral:lncRNA from 1 species